AGAGUUUGAUCCUGGCUCAGAUUGAACGCUAGCGGGAUGCUUUACACAUGCAAGUCGAACGGCAGCACGAGAGAGCUUGCUCUCUUGGUGGCGAGUGGCGGACGGGUGAGUAAUAUAUCGGAACGUGCCCAGUAGCGGGGGAUAACUACUCGAAAGAGUGGCUAAUACCGCAUACGCCCUACGGGGGAAAGGGGGGGAUCGCAAGACCUCUCACUAUUGGAGCGGCCGAUAUCGGAUUAGCUAGUUGGUGGGGUAAAGGCUCACCAAGGCAACGAUCCGUAGCUGGUUUGAGAGGACGACCAGCCACACUGGGACUGAGACACGGCCCAGACUCCUACGGGAGGCAGCAGUGGGGAAUUUUGGACAAUGGGGGAAACCCUGAUCCAGCCAUCCCGCGUGUAUGAUGAAGGCCUUCGGGUUGUAAAGUACUUUUGGCAGAGAAGAAAAGGCAUCCCCUAAUACGGGAUGCUGCUGACGGUAUCUGCAGAAUAAGCACCGGCUAACUACGUGCCAGCAGCCGCGGUAAUACGUAGGGUGCAAGCGUUAAUCGGAAUUACUGGGCGUAAAGCGUGUGUAGGCGGUUCGGAAAGAAAGAUGUGAAAUCCCAGGGCUCAACCUUGGAACUGCAUUUUUAACUGCCGAGCUAGAGUAUGUCAGAGGGGGGUAGAAUUCCACGUGUAGCAGUGAAAUGCGUAGAUAUGUGGAGGAAUACCGAUGGCGAAGGCAGCCUCCUGGGAUAAUACUGACGCUCAGACACGAAAGCGUGGGGAGCAAACAGGAUUAGAUACCCUGGUAGUCCACGCCCUAAACGAUGUCAACUAGCUGUUGGGGCCGUUAGGCCUUAGUAGCGCAGCUAACGCGUGAAGUUGACCGCCUGGGGAGUACGGUCGCAAGAUUAAAACUCAAAGGAAUUGACGGGGACCCGCACAAGCGGUGGAUGAUGUGGAUUAAUUCGAUGCAACGCGAAAAACCUUACCUACCCUUGACAUGUCUGGAAAGCCGAAGAGAUUUGGCCGUGCUCGCAAGAGAACCGGAACACAGGUGCUGCAUGGCUGUCGUCAGCUCGUGUCGUGAGAUGUUGGGUUAAGUCCCGCAACGAGCGCAACCCUUGUCAUUAGUUGCUACGCAAGAGCACUCUAAUGAGACUGCCGGUGACAAACCGGAGGAAGGUGGGGAUGACGUCAAGUCCUCAUGGCCCUUAUGGGUAGGGCUUCACACGUCAUACAAUGGUCGGGACAGAGGGUCGCCAACCCGCGAGGGGGAGCCAAUCUCAGAAACCCGAUCGUAGUCCGGAUCGCAGUCUGCAACUCGACUGCGUGAAGUCGGAAUCGCUAGUAAUCGCGGAUCAGAAUGUCGCGGUGAAUACGUUCCCGGGUCUUGUACACACCGCCCGUCACACCAUGGGAGUGGGUUUCACCAGAAGUAGGUAGCCUAACCGCAAGGAGGGCGCUUACCACGGUGGGAUUCAUGACUGGGGUGAAGUCGUAACAAGGUAACCGUAA
rnacentral:rRNA from 1 species